rnacentral:lncRNA from 1 species
AAAUUAUUCACAUCGUAGAUAAUAACAAAGUAUUAGUCUUACGAUUAGACACAACACAGGCUAUAAAUUAAUAUAAAUUCCAAAUACUAGUCUAGCAUCAAAAUAAACGCAACAGUGUUGCGUCAAUUUUGUCGCAUCUCUCUAAAACACAAUACUAAAACUUUUCCACGCGAUCCCACCAUGAAUCUAUCGUCGGUAUUUUCGAUAUUUUCGCAAGAUCACAUUUCGACGAUAAUGUGAUUUUCGCAAUCGCAUGUAAAUACCGUGUUAUCGCAGCACAGCGUGAUAAAGCUGUUUACGAAGGAGGAACGGAAUUGUCGGGGAAAUGCAAUCUCGUUUCUUGAUGAAAAGUGUCCCACACGUACUACUAUUGUAUCAUCAAUAGCGAUUCAUUGAACCGUAUCUUGAAGUCUCAAAGCCAACUUGGUUAUCUUGUAGCUAACCACCAAUACAAGUUCGAUUUCAUCAAACUAGAAAUAUUUCCCUUAAACGCUUUGCAAAUCAACGAUGUGGGGUAUAACUUGACUACAACACAUUCUUACGACUAAAAUAAAUUUGCCGAGAUCGAUAAGUUCGUUAAUUAUCUUUAUUCGAUCAUACGCAGAAUAGUUUCCCAGAAUAAAUUUUCUAAUUAUUACUCUGGUUCGUAAAGGUAAAAGUACUCAACGUAGGCUAAUUGUAACGUAACUGAUUUGACACAGACAAGUGUUCUGUUUGUAGAAGCUAUUUUGCCUGAGAUUAAUUGGAAUGAUCGAUUAAUGCUUUCGAGUGUCGAUAAACAAAUUCCACGUAAUAAUGAAUAUUUAUUGUAAUUUGAUAAGCUUAUAUAAAUUGUAAACGAUGGUUAUGGAUAAAGGAGAAGUAUUUUUUACAAUAAUUUGAUAUUGUGAUUUUAGCUUACAAUAUUAUCUGAAAAUUUACUUGAGUUUUGCAGAAUUUUUUGAACAAUAAAUUCUUUGUAUAAUAAACAAAAAAUAAACACGUGUGAAACAAAAUAUAAGUAAAAAAUGUGCAUGUAGAAUAAGAAAAGACCUCCGUUAUGUAAAUGGUACAAUGGGAAAUGUACGGAACAUACUACAUAUUGUGACAAACAACCCAUUUCAUAGCUUAGCAAUUGUAGGUAAUAUCCGUAAAAAUAUUCGUGAACCGUUUUCUUGUGUCGGUCGAUACAUGAAUCGUGUAACGCGGGAUCUAUUCGCGCAGACGCAAAUUGAAUUUUUAACCACUGAAUUUCGUAAAAUUUUCCAAUAAAGCUACGCAUGUCGAAAGGAAGCAGUUGAUAUAGAAAUCUGUCGAAUUGAUUUGAAAAAUCUUAUAGAAGUAUAAGAGAGUUUCACAAAUUACCAACAUUUCAUAUAACAGUAUUUAACAUAAUGUCAAUAUUCCUAGUUUGUAAAACAGUUAUAUAUUUAAAAUUUCAAAGUAUAAUAUUUUAAUUUAUUACGUAUAACGUAAACUAUCCGUAUUUCUAUAGUGAAUUUAAACCUAAUAAUAGAGUUAUAUCUAUGAGAUUACAUAGGCGGGAUAUUCAAAUGAAAUCCCUAGAACUCCCAACCCUCGAGAAAAAAAGUUCCGCUCCAGUAUAAUUAAAUUUUCGUUGUAAUUGCUGAUUUAUUAGAUUAAGAAAUAAAUUAGGUAAAAACGUAAAAAAUACAGAAUUACAAGCUAUCAUAAUCAUAUACAGUCAUCUUUUACAUCUUUUUCCAUUCUGAGCUGAACCUAAAUUACUAAAAACUAACAGUUUUAAGGAAUUUAUAAUACUACGCUGUAUACUGUAUAGUAUGAAAAUCAAAAGUUUGUGAAUGGUUUUUUGAGAAAUUUAUGCACCUAACCGAUCCUCUAAUCCCAGCAAAUAAAAAAAUCAUCUGCGCAACGACUCUAUCUUGUUGGUGGACGGUCAAUAACGUCAGCAUAAUUUUGCUGUGGUUUAAUCGGUAACGGAUAAGCAAAGACGCCUGCGCGACGCGUGUCCACUCUGUCUAACCCGUGACAUUCAAAAGAGGUGAACGUCACACGGAGCGCACCUGGCGGUGAUUCUCGACACGAACCUACGAACCUCCUAACGCGCAAUGCAGUGCGUAAAGUGAGUUCUUCGAGUCUUUGUGUUAUACAUACGAAGCUCUAAUAGCUAGUUUACAGAUUUUUAUGCAAAUUCAUAUUGUAAAGAAUAUAAUUAAAAAAGCAGAUUGCUUUACCUACUAAGUAUUAUAGAAAGCAGUUGGAUAUUUUAUAUAUUUUUCAUAUAUAUGCAUUCUGUGCAAUUUUGUACUUUUGCUAUAAAUGCAUAAAAAUCUGCAGUAUAUUGAUAACGGAGGUAAUUAGUGUGGACUGAAGAAGAUAGAAAGAAAACAAUCAUAAAAUCGACCACUCGAUUCGUGCUGAGGAUUAAUUGAAAGGUGACGUCAAAGUGCCGCGAUUCAGUUGUAACGCACCGGUCGAAGAUAUUAACACAUACUGUUGACUUGGAAUAUGUAGUGAUCGAUUGUUAGUUCUUUGUGAAUGGUUAUUCAUGGAAAUUUAUGGUCAUGGGUAGAUAAAUUGCUUAUGGACAUAUUAUGUAUCGUAUUAAAGCUUUAUGACGAUUGUUAGGAAAUGAAGAAAUUUCAAAGCAAGCAAUGACAAUAUCAUUUAAAACAUGAAACAGGAUAAAACAAACUAUACAGUGAAAGUUCGAAAGCGAUGGAAGAACUCAGUAAAAGUUUGUGCAAAAUAAUUUGUAUAAUUGUAUUAGCGGGAUGAGACAAUAACAAUCAUGACAAUUAA